rnacentral:lncRNA from 1 species
CUGUAGAUAUUUUAAAAUCAAAUAUGUGAAAGAUGUGAUGUAUAUAUAAAAUAAUUAUUUUUAUCAAUUAAAAUAAUGUAUACUAAUAUUUUUUUUUAUAAAUUAUCAUUGUUUAAUGUUAUUCUAAAUGUGAUAUGUAAAUACUAUCUAUGUUAUUUAAAAUACUUCAAUAAUUUUAAUAAUACCCAAAAUUAAAUUAAAAUAUUUAUAGAUGUUUUUAUUAUGAUUAUCAACUUUUUUACAGAUUCUACAGCCUAAAAAGAUGUAUAUUGUUUUCCUAAACUACAUAAGAAAAAGUUUGCUUUAUUUUUUUUGGUUUUACUUUAAAAAUAAAAGCUAAAGUAUGAAUGGUAAAAAUUAAUAGAAAUUUGAUAUAGGCUUUAAAUUUUUAAAAUAAAACUACAUCCAGUAAAGGUUAGUGAUUUAAAAAAAAAAAAAAAAGGAUAAAUUCCAAGCGAUCACCCUCAAAUAUUAUUAUUAGAUUACUAAAAAUCUCUUAUAUAUUAAAGGAGAAACAUUAUUAAAAAGUAACUUUGGUUUUAUAAGUUAUUUACACUAUUGCCAUUUUGCUAUCGUGACGGUUCCACAUGCUCUCUCAGCCCUUAUUUAAAAAUUCAUUACUAGAAAUAUAACAUAUAUUGCCAUUGAUAUCAUUUAAUCAUUAAAAUAGUUUUAUACUAAGCUUAAAUUGGAAUGCUUAAUAUAUCAUUUGGAGUAUUGUAAAAUAAAAGAAACAACUCAUAUAACGGACACAUCACAGCAAAUAUCAUGGUCCACAAUCAAUUUGACAAAUUUGGAAAUAAACACUCAGUUCAUUACAGUUUCCAUAUGUAAUAGAAUUGUUGACCAAACUGAUUUCGUGAUUUACGAUGCAUAUAUCAUAUGCUAUAAUCGUGCACUUCAAUACUUUAAAAAG